AACGCGAAGAACCUUACCUGGGCUCGAAAUGUAGAGGACGAUGGCAGAGAUGCCAUCUCUCGCAAGAGCCUUUAUAUAGGUGCUGCAUGGCUGUCGUCAGCUCGUGCCGUGAGGUGUUUGGUUAAGUCCAGCAACGAGCGCAACCCUUAUCGUUAGUUGCCAACGCGUAAUGGCGGGAACUCUAACGAGACUGCCUGGGUUAACCAGGAGGAAGGUGAGGAUGACGUCAAGUCCGCAUGGCCUUUAUGUCCAGGGCUACACACGUGCUACAAUGGUCGGCACAGAAGGUCGCGAAACCGCGAGGUGGAGCAAAUCCCAAAAGCCGAUCUCAGUUCAGAUUGGAGUCUGCAACUCGACUCCAUGAAGUUGGAAUUGCUAGUAAUGGCGUGUCAGCAAUAACGCCGUGAAUACGUUCCCGGGCCUUGUACACACCGGAGUGC
rnacentral:rRNA from 1 species